rnacentral:rRNA from 1 species
GAUGAACGCUGGCGGCGCGCCUAACACAUGCAAGUCGAACGGCACCCCUCCUCGGAGGGAAGCGAGUGGCGAACGGCUGAGUAACACGUGGAGAACCUGCCCCCUCCCCCGGGAUAGCCGCCCGAAAGGACGGGUAAUACCGGAUACCCCGGGGUGCCGCAUGGCACCCCGGCUAAAGCCCCGACGGGAGGGGAUGGCUCCGCGGCCCAUCAGGUAGACGGCGGGGUGACGGCCCACCGUGCCGACAACGGGUAGCCGGGUUGAGAGACCGACCGGCCAGAUGGGGACUGAGACACGGCCCAGACUCCUACGGGAGGCAGCAGUGGGGAAUCUUGCGCAAUGGGGGGAACCCUGACGCAGCGACGCCGCGUGCGGGACGGAGGCCUUCGGGUCGGAAACCGCUUUCAGCAGGGAAGAGUCAAGACUGUACCUGCAGAAGAAGCCCCGGCUAACUACGUG